ensembl:snoRNA SNORD63 Small nucleolar RNA SNORD63
GUGCAAUGAUGCAUUCUGUCAACACAUCAUUCUGAUAAGACAGGUGUGUGGAAAACUAAUGACUGAGCACA